rnacentral:lncRNA from 1 species
GAACCAAGGCGAGAGCUAUGUGAGCCUGGAGGAUGUGUGCCUGCGCUUCACUGCAGAAGAGUGGGGUCUCCUUGAUGACGCCCAGAAGCUCCUGUACCACAACGUGAUGCUGGAGAACUUCUCGCUUGUGCUGUCCCUGGGACUUCCGAUUUCCAAAUCCUUCCCAGGCUUUAGCAGAAGUGGCCUGUGUUGUCUGGACCUCCCACGGCCUCCAGUGUUGAUUGGACUUGAGAUUGAUCCGUAGGGAAAGGACUCUCUGCUCCGCCUUUGAAGGAGUCCACACUCCUCUUGCACCAAGCAAGAAGAAAAACUUCAGAGCAGCCCUCAGGGAUUUUCCUAUCUUUCCCCAUUAAACAUUACAGAGGUA